CUUAAAUUGAAGAGUUUGAUCAUGGCUCAGAUUGAACGCUGGCGGCAGGCCUAACACAUGCAAGUCGGGCGGUAGCACGGGGGAGCUUGCUCUUUGGGUGACGAGCGGCGGACGGGUGAGUAAUGUCUGGGAAACUGCCUGAUGGAGGGGG
rnacentral:rRNA from 1 species